UCUGUUGUAUUGCUUUUCACAGCUAUUUUUCUUUUCCCUUUUGAAAGUUUCAAGACCAUGCCUCAGAUGAAGAGUUGGGUUUCUCCUCAGCCCAGAGAAUGGCAAGUACAUUUAUAUUGAAUAUUAUAUUAUUAUGGUAAAAUGAUAUUAUAUUGAAUGAAUAGGUCAGGCAAAGGUCAGAGAUCUUACAUCCAACUGCAUGGAAAACUUAAUCUCACAAUUGUUACAUAUCUUAUUUUCACAUAUAAACUCCUUUUGGCUGUCAUGUGCAUGCCAACUAAGCAUAAUGUAUUUCAUUUACUUUUAUUUAAUAUAUUCAACAAUAUAAUAAUUUUCAAACACCUUUCAUUAAUGUUUUGUCCCACACAGUAGCGUGGAUUAGAAGAGUGUCCUUUAAACAUACUGUAUUUCCUUUGAGAAAUAAAGUCUAGAAGUCAAAAGCAUGCGCGUGCACACGUGUGUCUAAAAAUAUUGUCACUAAUAACAAAUAAGGGCUGAUAAUAAUUAAAAACGUUAUUUGAAUAGUACCUUUUAGAACAGCAUUUAUUAUAAUUAUAAUUACAAUCAUAAAUCUUAAUUGACCUACAAAGUGUGCACAGGAUUGGAUCCCAGCUGUCAGAUUGUCAUUCACAGAUCAGUCAGUCAGCAUGACAGCUUGACAAACUGUAGUGUUUGUCUGUUGUUUUUAUUGGGAUCCAGAAAAACAAGCAUCAAAUAAUCACAAUCUCUAACGUACAAAAUGAACACAACAUUAUAUCUGCCGCUAUUUCCUCCCACAAUUCCUCACAUCAGGUUCUUUAAAUGUCUAUUGUACCUUAAUGAAGUUUAAUGUGAUUCUAAUCUCUCAUUCUCUCUUGAAGAAGUUGACGGAUGAUAAUACUGGUCAUGGCAUGGCACCUGGAAUGAAUGAAAUCAUGUCAUCCCUUCACGACCUGCCAGAAAUGAUUAAAUUAAUGAGGGAGUGUGUGGAGUGUGUCCGGGCAUUGAUGUCCUCGAUUAGGGGGACCCCUUCAUCUGCAGCGUCAUCAUCUUCUGUGGACAGUGAAAUUGAAAUGCAUCCCUUGGCAGGCAGCACAGUGACAGUUUCAAAGAGGGCCUUCCUGCGGCUGAAUAGGUCUCGCAUGACCAUUUUUGCCCAGGAGCUGGCUGUGCUGGUAUUCACAAAGGAGGGCUUGCACAGUCCACCCUAACUGGAAAGUCUGGGAGGGGGGGCCGCCAAAAACACAGCUUGAUGUUGACAAAGUGCAGGCUAUUACAGGUACGUAAUUGUUUUGAGUUACAUGUAGUCUAUUUAAAAGCUUCUGUGAUUUCUAUAGCAGCUAGAUCACACGGAAACUGACCACAAGUAAUUACUAAAUACAUGUUGGACUAUUUACUGGUAGCAGUAUUGGUAUACCAUACUGAUACAAUUUCUCAGAGUUUCCAGAGGGGUAUUCCAGAAAGCAGGUUAUGUGAAAACGUAAGUGAACCCUGAGAUGAGGGAAACUCUGUUUUUUUGUUCCUGAAUGAGAGGUAUCUUAAACUCUGUGUCAGUCACCAUGGUAACUGACUCUGGGAACCUAACCUGCUCGCUGGCAGGUUUACUUGAAGAAACCCUGAGUCUGGCGGAGAUGUCUGACAGGGCCUGUCCUUUCCUUCUCAACAGCAUCAUGUUGAAGCAGAAAGAAUUCACAUAGUUUUACAACAGGGGGAUUAUUUAGAUUUGUUUAGAUGAGCUCUCAUUCCCUGAGCCAAACGGUACCACUUCUCAUCAGUCCAUCAUUUAUCUGAACAAUAUUCUCAGUCCGGCUACAUCGAAUAUCAGGCUACACGUCACCGCUGACGUGCUCUCAGAUCUGCAUUUUUAUCACUUUGCAGGUUAAUCAAUCACCUUCCAGCAGUCAGAAAAAGAGGGAUCAUUCACAUUUCAUUUGGCUUUUUUUGUUUCCCACAGAUAGCUACAAAAGUAGGCUAACCAUCAGCCUGCAUUGCCUCCAACAACGCAAUUUCAAAGUACAUGUUUCUAAUUUGCUGCCGCAUUUAGGAUAAUAUUAAAUAACUUCUAGUACUAUCUGUAGAUAAAUGUGUGUGUCUGCCUCUUGGGUCCUGGGGGUGAGUGACGCCCUCAGCCUCUGGUGACCCAGCUACCUGACUCAGGACCAGCUCCUCUGCCUUCUUCCACAUGGUCAUUUACUCAGCAGGAUGUUAGGAGACAGGAUGUGUGUUAAUCAGUAGGUAACUGUUGGUGGUAAAAAGCUGCUACAAGCUGAAAUAUCCACUGAAUAAACUUUUACCUUGUUUAAUAUGCAGAAUAUGAAUAAAACCAGAGUGAGGUGCAAUCACAAGACUGUUUUUAUAGCCUAUAUUCAGAGUUUCACUUCACAGAUUAAGUCAACUCAGUUCCGGGUUAGGCUUCGAGUUUGUUGAACCUCCUUUCUGGAAUACCCCUUUGAUGUACUGUUCAAAAUACUAUGAAUAUGCUGUGUGACUUACAUUAUCUCGUCUAUUCGGUCAACAGACGCUGUUCUUCUAGAGUUUCCACAGACAAGUGUCUCUGAUGUGCGCGCGGCCAUCAGACGAAAGUGUAACAAUGAGCAGUUCAGCCAAAAAAAAGAAACAUAAUGUGUGGUGUGUGUUUCUGUAUGGUGGGAGGGGUUAGGCGUGCAAUAAUAAGGAAUGUUGUUUUUCAUUGUUCACUAUUUCUCAGUGUUCUGUAAAGUUUAUGUGUAAUGUUUAAGUCUGCUGCCUGAAAUGGACCUAUUUCUACAAGGUUUACUAAAGUACCAAUAUAUUUGAAAAUGUUUAAAAGCCAUAAUGUAAAUGUUCAUACAUUUGUUGUACCACUGUUAAGAGAUAGUACAAGUUUUUUGUAUAUACAAUGUACUAUUCUAAUUAGGAUAUGGUACAAAUACAUUAAAGUAUAUUUUUUCACCUGGAA